CCUACGGGUGGCAGCAGUGAGGAAUAUUGGUCAAUGGGCGCGAGUCUGAACCAGCCAAGUAGCGUGAAGGAUGACUGCCCUAUGGUUUGUAAACUUCUUUUAUAUGGGAGUAACACGGGGUAUGCAUACACUCUUAUAUGUACCAUAUGAAUAAGGAUCGGCUAACUCCGUGCCAGCAGCCGCGGUAAUACGGAGGAUCCGAGCGUUAUCCGGAUUUAUUGGGGUUAAAGGGAGCGUAGGUGGAUUGGUAAGUCAGUUGUGAAAGUUUGCGGCUCAACCGUAAAAUUGCAGUUGAAACUGGCAGUCUUGAGUACAGUAGAGGUUGGCGGAAUUCGUGGUGUAGCGGUGAAAUGCUUAGAUAUCACGAAGAACUCCGAUUGCGAAGGCAGCUCACUGGACUGCAACUGACACUGAUGCUCGAAAGUGUGGGGAUCAAACAGGAUUAGAUACCCGAGUAGUC
rnacentral:rRNA from 1 species